rnacentral:tRNA from 1 species
GAGGGUGUAGCUCGAGUGGUAGAGCGCAUGCUUAGCAUGCGUGAGGUCCCAGGUUCAAUCCCCAGUACCUCCU